UUCCUGCUGCGCUCCCCCGCCGCUCUUCCAGAGAUGGAAGGAGGAGUCUCCCCGGAUCUGCCUCUUGCGGGUUUCCUGCUGAAUAGUAGUGGCCCGACUGUGCCUCAGGUCACAGUUUAUGACAACCCCGAGCUGAGAGCCCCCUCCUCAGCUCUGUCUCAGCCCCCGGCUGCCCCGCUCCGCUACCCGGGGGCUCUGCUGCACUCAGACACCCCCGGCCCUUGUGUGGCCCCGUGGGUCCCGAGACCACACAGUCCCCGCAAAGGCUCCACCCCCCGCUUAGUCACUGGAGUGACAUCCCUCCACGGAGUAGACUUCUGAAAGUACCGAUUUUGGGCUCCUGGGCUCUCUCACUUGCAGAUAAGAACCCAGCCCAUCCAAUACCUUGAUUUUGGCUUUGUGAUGUCCUGCACAUCAUCCCAGAUGAGCCCAUCUGGACUUUGGAUCUACAGAAUGGUCUGGGACAACACAUUGUCAGCAUCCCAUGAACUUGGAAGAGAGACUCGGAUGGCAAGCCUUCCAGAUAGAUCACAUGAAGUGACAGAGAACCAGCUAAGUUUCAGUGUUAUACCCACGUACUUUUUUAAUUGACCAGCCAUGGCAAGUCCCCUAUCCAAUGACUUUCCUUCUCUCU